AUGCAGCUCGGCUUGCGGACAAAUGCAGUUGACUUGCACAGCGGUUGCAGAUGUGUUGGAGCAAGAGGGCUCCUAAAACAUAGCCUGCAUCACCUCAAGUCUUCAGACACUGAAACCAGUGUUUUGCAAUUCUCCUGGUUUGUGUUGCAAUUCUACCUGUGCAGCUCAGUUGCCUCUCCCCGUGCAGCUCGCUUGCCGCCCCCGUGCAGCUCACCUCCGCCGAGCAAACUCUUUUCGGCGAGUCCACAUCGCGUCCGCACCACAUCGUGCAAUUUGAGUGCAGUUUUUGAUUAUUUUUGGAGCAGCACAUCCAUCCAACCCAAUAAGUUCAGAGUUUGUGUGUUCAGUGCAGUACCGCAGUGCAAUGCAGUGCAGUUUCGGUUUCAGAGUCCCGUUGAAGGCCUCUUGGUGCUAUCCUCACUUAAUUUUUAUGUGAAAAUGUGUGUACAGCCUGUGUAA
rnacentral:rRNA from 1 species